rnacentral:misc_RNA from 1 species
AAAAAAAAAAAAAAAAGAUCUUAAGCUAAGGAAAAUUUGGACUCGCUUGUAGUCAGGGCCUUGUGUUGAAUGAUUUACUACUGCAUUGAUGACUUGCAGAAUUCAAUAGUGCAUAGCUUUUGACUUCUAUUUGAGUUGCAAUGUAUCUCUAGACUUGCCAGUUUCCAAUUCUCCUUUUCUUACCCUAAAUUACUUUGCCACUUUUGGCUGUCAAUAUUUAGAUAUCAAGUAAAGUAAAGUUUGUAGAAUAUGUGAAGACUAGAGACUUUGGUAAUUGAGAUGGUUGUCCACUUCCAAUUUGUAUACUUGUACUUAUUAUGGUACUUUUGCUUCUGCACCUCCUUUAUCAAUUUUUGUCAGUGCAAAUGGUCAUGUGUUGUCCAAAGAAAUAAGGAAAUUUCUCUAAGAGGUGAUUAUUUUGAUCAAUGACUUGUGUCAAGCUAUUAAUGGAACCAGAUAUUGUAGAUGUAAUAGCUUGGGAAGGGGUCCAAGCUUACAAUUUUUUUUUUACACCUGCCUCCAUUGGCAUGUAUGAACAUUUUUAUUGUAAAUUGAUGUUACUUAAUGAAGUUAGCUUCGAAAAUAUUUUUAAGUGAUAGCUCAUUCAUUUGAGGUAGUGCAAUUUUUUUAUGGAUUGUAGUAGUUGGGGAAAGGGCUUAAGCCAAUCUUGCAGUACACCUACCCAGGGGUAAGCAUCAGUCGGUUUAGUUCAGCCUGAAAAGCACCAAAACUGGAUAAACCAAACCUAUUAGGAGGAUUAAAGUAAGAAGUAACUUUUAUCAAUGGUUAUUGACUUCGUAAUUUGGCUUGCAUGUUCCACUGUAUUAUUUCAUGUAUUCGUGAUUGCUUCAGAUCAGAACCUGCAGUAAAUUAACUUUGUAGCAUAACUGAUAUUUGGUGUGUUACUGAGUGCAGAUAUAUUAUAUGAUUCAUGG